AAUCAACGCUGGCGGCGUGCCUCAGACAUGCAAGUCGAACGAUUAAACUUUCCUUCGGGAAAGAUAUAAAGUGGCGUACGGGUGAGUAACACGUAAGUAAUCUACCUUUGAGUGGGGAAGUAACAGUCGGAACGACUGCUAAUACCGCAUAAUGCAGCGGCACCGCAAGGUAGACAGUUGUUAAAGACAUUUAUUGCGCUUAAAGAAGGAGCUUGCGGCAGAUUAGCUAGUUGGAAGGU
rnacentral:rRNA from 1 species